rnacentral:rRNA from 1 species
GAUCGAACGGCGUGGCGGCGUGCGUUAACACAUGCAAGUCGAACGGGAGUUAGUGAAGUGCGGGAGAGAAGUGCUUGCACAGACCAAACAAAGCAUAACUUAGUGGCGGACGGGUGAGUAACGCGUGGGUAACCUGCCUCAUACAGGGGGAUAACACUUAGAAAUAGGUGCUAAUACCGCAUAAGCGCACAGCAUCGCAUGAUGCAGUGUGAAAAGCUCCGGCGGUAUGAGAUGGACCCGCGUCUGAUUAGCUGGUUGGCGGGGUAGCGGCCCACCAAGGCGACGAUCAGUAGCCGGCCUGAGAGGGUGAACGGCCACAUUGGGGACUGAGACACGGGCCCAA